UAUCCGAAGUGGAACUUCCCGCGUUAGAAUCUGCAUUCGCAAGAAAUUUAUCGCCACAUGAGUUUCAUAGCUUUGAAGACGUGCAUGAUCUCUUUGAAGAAGGAAUUAAGCUUCCUUUAGAUGUAAUUAGUCAAAUUAGUCAUGAACCAGUGUUGGAGAAACUCGUCACAACUGAUGGUCAGCAGAUGAAGUUUCCAAAGCCUAAAGUGAUUCAAGGUAUAAUCUAAACUACUUAAUUACUAUAUAUGUUACAGCAGCCACUUAAUUUAAUCCAAACUAGCUAAUAUUAACAUUUUACACAUAACCCUGAUGGAUAUUUUUGAACAAUUUCCAUUGACAAUUGUUCUUCUACAUUGUAUACAAUUAUAUGUUGAGCAGUGAACAAGUCUGCAUGGAUGACUGAUGAAGAAUUUGCAAGAGAGAUCAUUGCUGGUGUAAAUCCAGCCUUAAUUCGCUGUCUUCAUCGAGUAAGCUUAAAGAGAUCGAUGACCAAACCAUUUUAUAAUUUUCUAUGCAUCACAUUUAUUGAUUUGAUACUUUUCCAGAUGCAGAAUCAAUCAAUAUUUGUUUAACACUCCUCAUGAUUAUCCUAAAUUAAUUGCAGCCAGAGCAGUUUCCUCCAAAAAGUAACCUUGACAGUGGAUCCUAUGGUGAUCAUACUAGCACAAUAACCAAAGAACACAUAGAGCCUAACUUAGACGGGCUCACAGUAGAAGAGGUAAAUAUGAACUCAAAAUUGGGUAUUUUUUUUUUUGCAGAACUCAAUUUUAUAUAUAGACUAAUUAAAAUUUGGCUAAGCAGGCUAUUGAGAAAAAGAAAUUGUUCCUACUGGAUGACCAUGAUGCAAUAAUGCCAUAUUUAAGGAAAAUAAACUCCACAAGCUCAAAGGCGUACGCUACGAGAACCAUCCUUUUCUUGAAGGAUGAUGGAACUUUGAGGCCACUAGCCAUUGAGUUAAGUUUGCCAAAUCCUCGAGGAGAUCAUUUUGGUGCUGUUAGCAAUGUCUACCUGCCUGCAACAGAAGGUGUUCAAAGUUACAUUUGGCUACUAGCCAGAGCCUAUGCGGUCGUAAACGAUUCGAACUAUCAUCAGCUAAUCAGCCACUGGUACACAUUUUCAAUGAAAUUACUUCAUUCACACAAUUAAAUUUAUCUAUCUAUCAAGCAAGUAGUCUAUAUAUUAAUUAUAAAGUUAAUUUCAUGGGUUAUAUUGUUAUAGGUUGAAUACUCAUGCAGCUGUUGAGCCAUUUCUGAUAGCAACCAACAGGCAGCUCAGUGUGCUUCAUCCUAUUUACAAACUUCUAGUUCCUCACUAUCGUAAUACCAUGAAUAUCAAUGCCAAUGCACGAAUAAGGCUGAUCAGUGCAAAUGGCAUUAUAGAACAGACAUUCUUGGCAGGAGAGUAUGCUAUGGAAUUGUCUUCUGCUAUUUAUAAGAACUGGGUUUUUACAGAGCAAGCUCUACCUUCUGAUCUCAUCAAGAGGUAAGUAAUCUUACAAAUAUACACCACUAAGAAUACUAACUGUUCUAAGUUUAAUUGGCCAAUUUUUUUUUACGAAUCAAAGCAACAAGAGCCGAAUCUCAGUGGAUCAUGACAAGAUUAAUUGAGCAUAAAAAGAAUGAACUUGAAGACUUUCCUAAUGUUGUUUUUGUUGUUGUUGUUGUUGUUGUAAUUCAGAGGAAUGGCUGUUGAGGAUGAAAAUUCCCCUCAUGGCAUUCGCCUUGUGUUAGAGGACUACCCUUAUGCAGCUGAUGGACUUGAAAUUUGGGGUGCUAUUAGUACAUGGGUCCAAGACUAUGUUACCUUAUACUACGUCUCAGAUGAUGCAGUUAAGGAAGACUCUGAACUCCAGUCUUGGUGGAAAGAAGUUGUGGAGGUGGGUCAUGGUGACAAGAAAGGUGAGCCAUGGUGGCCUAAAAUGCAAACUCGCAAAGACUUGAUUCAAACUUGCACCAUUGUCAUAUGGACUGCUUCAGCACUUCAUGCAUCUGUUAAUUUUGGACAAUAUCCAUAUGGAGGUAUCAUCUUGAAUCGCCCUACUAUUAGCAGGCGAUUCAUGCCCGAGGAAGGAACUGAAGAGUAUGAGGAGCUGAAAAAUGACCCUGAGAAGGCUUACUUGAGAACAAUUACACAAAAGCCUCACACUCUUAUUAAUAUUUCAACUAUAGAACUUUUGUCAACCCAUGUUUCUGAUGAGUUCUACCUUGGACAAAGAGAUGGGGCUGAGCAUUGGACUUCUGAUACAAUCGCUCUACAAGCCUUUAACAAGUUUGGGAAAAGGCUAGCAGAAAUUGAGGAACAGCUCAUAAAGAAGAAUAAGGAUGUGAAUUUGAAAAAUAGGUAUGGACCAGUUAGUAUGCCUUACACUUUGCUCUAUCCAACAACUGAGCCAGGAAUGACUUUCAGGGGAAUCCCCAACAGUGUCUCUAUCUAAAACUACAAGCAGUGCUGGUUUGUGAAGUAUUGCGGCUUUGAAUAAAUCAUCCAAGACAAGGAAUCUCAAUCCCUUUAUGUUCUUGUAUGAGUGUGUUUGUUAACCACUGUUUUCAAUUCAUGUUAAAAACAAGUGUAUUAAUGCACAUUGUAACAUGUGUCAUCAUGUUUGGAUAUUUUUCCAUUAAGUAAAAGUGUGUUGACUGUUCAAUGUUACUGGUAGUUCACGAUAAAACCCCAAAACAAGGUAAAUAGGUCAACACGACGCAACGUCUUAGGAUUUCUCAGCAAAUGAACAUGUCUAUUACAUUAAUGGAGAGAACGAGGAUCAAACAAUUACAUCGGGGGGAAGUGAUGAUCAGGUAACUACAAAAGAUAAUUUAUGAAACUGUCACAGGAUAAAUAUCCCGAAUGGAAAAUCGACUUCCAAAUGACGAGGUCUUUGGGAAGAAUUGUUUUUUCCAACUUUAACAAAAAACCAACAUCAAAAUCUACCCAAUUCUCUCUCUCUCGAUCUUCUUCCUCGACAAGCAAUCACCCCAUGAUCACAAUAUCAAAACACUGUCACAUAGCUUCUUAUUGAGCAUAAGAAGCAAAUAGAGUGAUUAGCAGUUAGCAUUCAGUUAGCAUAUAUAUGGUUAGAAUUCAGUUAAGGGUAGUUAGCAUUAUUGACAUUUUAUCAACUUUAAUACUUUUCAUGAAAUUUCUCGCACAUAAGAAAAUCAAUAACCUUCAAAACUGAGUAACUACUUAACUCAUACUCAUUCUUUUUAAGAAAACACCAAAAGCACACCAAGUCGGACCCUUUAGGGAUGUUAGCACCAGAAACAGAAAAACAAUACCUGAUAUAGCUGACUCCCUUGGUUCACAGACUCCAAAGCAACCCUGAGAGAUUCAAAGGCUCGAAGCUGUUCAUGGCUCGCUGAGGGACUCAUCACUAUCUUCCAAUUCCUCAAACAGAGGACUCAACAGCUUCACCCUGCAUGCGAAUCAUAUUCCCACACACCCUCUUGUAAACGUUCUGGCAUUCGGGAAACCCAGAAAUAGGAACAGAGGUGAAAGCUUGUAACACUUGAGAGGGUAAUUGGGAAAGAGAAUGUAAUUGCCAAUUGUAUUGUAGCUAGAUAUGUGAGGCGACUAGUCAGGGGCAUAAGGCCUAGCCUACCAAAGGCCGGGC
rnacentral:lncRNA from 1 species